rnacentral:tmRNA from 1 species
GGGGGCGAAAUGGUUUCGACGGGGUCAAUCCGGGCGGGAGCAGCAAGCCGAGCUUCCGGCGGGCUCGUUAAACUGCCGGAAACCUAACUCAAACGCAGACGACAAUCUCGCGUUAGCCGCUUAAUUUAAGCGGCUCAUCGCCCCCGCCUCGUCCACGGGCGGGAUCAGCGGUGUCAGAUAGUGGACUUCAGCUGCCGCGGCCGUCUCCCGCCGCGGGCGGCGAAAUUCUCAGGGAGACUGGCAAACCGGAUCCUGCCCACGCGGAGCCGGGGCGCGAGACUUAAAAGCGUAGGCUAAGCUUGUAGCGGCUCCCCUUCGGGUGGCUGCGGACGCGGGUUCGACUCCCGCCGCCUCCACCA